CUGGUCUCAGCCAGAACAGCUUACAAAUGCAAACGCCACAGGUCCUUUCUUCCAGCCAGUUCCGUCACAGCAAAUGUAACCUAUUUGUCAACUGAUUGUCAACUGUGCAGUAAGAGUUCCUGUUCUGCCGAUUAAGUCACUCCCCGAGUAUUUCAGAGGCAGGUACCACGAGCGUGAAGAGGCAUUUGGGGCCUGAAUCAGCCAGGGUGGUGGGAACUGAAGCUGCUGUGAGCAUGUGACACCUGGGAGGAGGACCACGUCCUGCAAACUCUGCUCUGUCUUUGGCACUUCUGUGUAUGUCACUGAUGCCAUCAGCAUGUGAAGCACCUGCUGCUUUGUGUGAUUUCAGAUGCUGAAUGCAUCAUGUUCCUUUUUCCUGGCAGUGGAGCUGUCAUUUGCAUUUUUUUUGCUGGUGUUGAGGACUUUGCCAUAUCACUGCUGCCACACAGACCUCCCUUUCAGGCCAUGCGUGUGCUGUUGGGUGGCACUGAAGCUGGGCGGAUUCCCUGUGCUUGCCCUUGGGGCUGACCUCCUCCUUGCUGUGCCAGUCAUCCCAAGGCGCUGCCAGUUUGUUGCUGCGCCCUGACACUGGACUGCACUACAGACAGCAGUGCCAUGGUCCUGGCUGUUCAGCUUUCAGGCCUGGCUUUCAAGAAGUGUCAGUAUGGGGCUAGUGCUGCUGACAUCCUUCCAGUUUAGGAGCUAAAUCAGUAACCACUGCAGCAGGCAGGAUUGUGCAGUGGAGACAUAGUGUUUUUUUCUUGAUCUAAAUCAGAGUCUAACCAAUGAGAAAAAUAUUUGCUCUGUUGGAGAGGAGAGAGCAUCCACUGCUGUGAUUCCCUUGCUUUCUUCCUUGAUUUCCCCCAGAUGCCCUUCAAGUCUUCUCCACUUUUCAGUUUCGUUCACCUCUCCAAUGUCCCCAGGCCCCUGCUUUUAGUUUCUUGAAGGUCUGCUCUAGCUCUGUGCUGGGGAGGAGGAUUCAGAAGCCAGCCAGAAGGAAACAGCAGGAGGUUGGACAAUGGAGGCUGCAACAGAGCUAUGUGUGGAUGGUCCCAGAGAAGCUUUUACUGCUAGAGUGUGCUUGGUUGGGGUUGCCAUGAGGUGCUGACAGCUCCUUGAUCCUGCUAUGAGGCCUCACUGGGUGGCACCCAGGAAUGCCAACCUCUUUGUGUCCCACCUGGCAUGUGGGUCAGGAGGCUAUUGGAGCCAGCUCCUGCCUGUCAAGGGCCAUGGACCAUGUACUCGCCUUAGGUCAUUGCAGCAUACCACCAGGGCUGCCUGCAGCCUCUGUGUGAGCCAGAACUUGGAUGAAAUGUCCCAUCACUUAAAUCUGGUGGCUCUGCAGAGCCAUUUGUUAUUGAGUUACUCCAUCUCGUGGCUACAGGGGAAAUGAGAAGCUUCAGCUCUGUUAUGUCUCUGUCUCUAUCUGUGGUUGAUCACCAGGAGGAACAGCUUAUCCUGUAGCUCAGACGGCUUAUCCCCCAACUCGUCUCCAUCAGCCAAGCACUAGACUCACCAGCCUCUCUGUUUGCCCUGUCUUCACUGGCCUCUGUGUUUGCUUCACCAUCCACAUCAUGGACAGCUCAGGAACGAUGAGAAAAGGGAGAGCCAAAAGUCUGACAGUGAUGGGCUGGGAGAGCUGAAGCACAGAAACAGCUGGAAUGGAGCUUUUCUGUAGAGGAACUGAUCAUAAGUACUACCUGUGGUUUGCUGGUAAAGCUGAGAGGUCAGGGCCAGGAAGGUGCUGUGCUGGUACAGAGGUCUGACCCCAGGCGAUGGUCUUCUCACUGGUCUUCAAUGUCCUCUGGAAGGACUCUACAGCUUGAGAGAGGCACCAGCAAACCUUGGCUGUGCACCAGGGCCAAGAGUGUUCCAGUGGAGAAGGUUCCUUUCAAUGCUGAGGGAGCUAAAUCUGCUGCUUGGGAGAGCAGGUAAGGUGCUUUCUCCCUUUGAGCCCUGACAUGUUCAGUUGUGAAGUGAUCUAGUAUUUGUGGAGAGGCGUGUCUCAGUUUCCACAGAGAAAUCAGCUAAGGAUGUUCCUGUGGGACUCCUGAGGCCAGGUCAGCAAGGUGGGUAUUUUUUGUGUCAGUGCUUUGAGAUUGGUGA